rnacentral:piRNA from 1 species
UCAAAUCCUUUGGUGUAGUAAACUCAGUCU